GUAGAUGUAGAGUAGCUUGGCACGAUCACAUCAGAGCAUACCAAUGGCCAAUGAGCGUGAUAGCCACUAUAAACAAGCAAUAAAUAUUGCGGUGAGACUGAGAAUCAAGGACGACGUUAUCUUCUGCAACUUUUGAAUCAUUUGGAAGCAAGAAACUAGAAAUCUGAGAAAAACCCCAUCAAGAAGAUGAGGCCAUCAAAUGGGUGAGCAACAAUAAAGGAAU
rnacentral:misc_RNA from 1 species